UACCUGCAGCUCAAGUGGUGACCGCUAUUAUUGGGCCUAAAACGUCCGUAGCCGGCUAAGUAAAUGCUUGGGUAAAUCGUGCCGCUUAACGGUACGAAUUCCGGGUACACUGCUUAGCUUGAGAUCGGGAGAAGCUAGAGGUACUCCUGGGGUAGAGGUGAAAUUCUGUAAUCCUGGGGGGACCACCAGUGGCGAAGGCGUCUAGCUAGAACAAGUCUGACGGUGAGGGACAAAACCCUGGGGCGCAAACCGGAUUAGAUACCCGGGUAGUCCAGGGCGCAAACGCUGCUUGCUUGAUGUUAGCUGGGCUCCGAGCUCAGCUAGUGUCGGAGAGAAGUUGUUAAGCAAGCUGCCUGGGAAGUACGAUCGCAAGAUUGAAACUUAAAGGAAUUGGCGGGGGAGCACAGCAACGGGUGGAGCGUGCGGUUU
rnacentral:rRNA from 1 species